rnacentral:misc_RNA from 1 species
CAAUAAAGCAAAAAGCUCCUUACUAAGUUGGCCAAGGCGUUUCAACAUUGUUUGUGGGAUUGCUAGAGGACUUCUAUACUUGCACCACGAUUCCAGAUUUAGAAUUAUCCACAGGGAUCUCAAAGCAAGCAACAUUCUGCUUGACGGAGAAUGGAAUCCGAAAAUAUCAGAUUUUGGCAUGGCUAGAAUAUUUGGUGGAGAUCAAACAGAAGCAAGUACCAGGAGAGUAGUGGGAACAUAUGGUUAUAUGUCUCCUGAGUAUGCAAUGGAUGGG